rnacentral:rRNA from 1 species
AUCUAUGGCCAUACCAUCCUGAAUGCACCCUGUCUCAUCUGAUCUCAGAAACUAAGCAGGGUCAGACCUGGUUAGUACUUGGAUGGGAGAAAUUGAAAACAUUGGUUGUUGUAUCAA